rnacentral:rRNA from 1 species
CUCUAUGGCCAUACCACCCCGAACAGACCUGAGCACCUACGAUUUCCAGAAGCUAAGCAGGGUCAGGCCUGGAUCGUACUUGGAUGGGAGGAACUGAUAUCUCUUCCUUGCUCAGUGAACUCUUAUUAGUUGUCUAAG